rnacentral:lncRNA from 1 species
GUCCUUUGUUGAAUAUUCACAUAGACCAAGGUGAGCGACACAGGCUCUUUAGAGCCUCUAGUUCGUAAAUCUUAGUAAUCUUUUAGAAAAUCUUCUCCACUGAAACUACUGGGCCAAAUUUAACCAAACUUAGCCAUAAUCAUCAUUGGGGUAUCUAGUUUAAAAAAUGUGUCUAGUGACCCGGCCAACCAACCAAGAUGGCCGCCAUGGCUAAAAAUAGAACAUAGGGGUAAAAUGCAGUUUUUGGCUUAUAACUCAAAAACCAAAGCAUUUAGAGCAAAUCUGACAG